rnacentral:rRNA from 1 species
AUUGAACGCUGGCGGCAGGCCUAACACAUGCAAGUCGAGCGAGCGGCGGACGGGUGAGUAAUGUCUGGGAAACUGCCUGAUGGAGGGGGAUAACUACUGGAAACGGUAGCUAAUACCGCAUACCAUCAGAUGUGCCCAGAUGGGAUUAGCGAGUAGGUGGGGUAACGACUCACCUAGGCGACGAUCCCUAACUGGUCUGAGAGGAAGACCAGCCACACGGGAACUGAAACAGGGGCCAUACUCCUACGGGAGGCAGCAGUGGAGAAUAUUGCAUAAUGGGCGAAAGCCUGAUGCAGCCAUGCAGCGUGUGUGAGGAAGGCCUUCGGGUGGUAAAGAACUUUCAGCGGGGAGGCGUUACCCGAAGAAGAAGCACGGGGUAACUCCGUGCCAGCAGCCGCGGUAAUAC